rfam:Hordeum vulgare subsp. vulgare, WGS project CAJW01000000 data, contig: morex_contig_226487
CCUCUCGGAGACGCCGAGAUCAUCUCCCACGUCAUAGCUGGUCUCGACAUCGACUACAACCCUGUGAUCUCGGCGUUGGCUGCGAGGAUCGAACCUGUUACGAUCCAGGAGCUGUAUAGCCAGCUCCUGAGCUUCGACG